rnacentral:rRNA from 1 species
UACGUAGGGUGCAAGCGUUGUCCGGAAUUAUUGGGCGUAAAGAGCUCGUAGGCGGCCAGAUAAGUCCGGUGUGAAAGUCACAGGCUCAACCUGUGAAUGCCGCUGGAAACUGUCUGGCUAGAGUCCGGAAGGGGCGAGUGGAAUUCCUGGUGUAGCGGUGAAAUGCGCAGAUAUCAGGAGGAACACCAAUGGCGAAGGCAGCUCGCUGGAACGGUACUGACGCUGAGGCGCGAAAGCGUGGGGAGCGAACAGG